CCUACGGGUGGCAGCAGUAGGGAAUCUUCCGCAAUGGGCGAAAGCCUGACGGAGCAACGCCGCGUGGGUGAUGAAGGUCUUCGGAUCGUAAACCUCUGUCAGCAGGGAAGAACGGUCACUGUGCUAAUCAGCAGUGAUUUGACGGUACCUGCACAGGAAGCACCGGCUAACUACGUGCCAGCAGCCGCGGUAAUACGGAGGGGGCGAGCGUUAAUCGGAAUUACUGGGCGUAAAGCGCUCGUAGGCGGUAUGUCAAGUCAAGGGUGAAAGCCCUGCGCUUAACGGGGGAACUGCAUUUGAAACUGGGAAACGGGAAUGUGUGAGAGGAGAGUGGAACUCCAGGUGUAGGAGUGAAAUCCGUAGAUAUCGGGAGGAACACGAGUGGCGAAGGCGGGUUCCUGGACAUUAACUGACGCUGAGGUACGAAGGCCAGGGGAGCGAAAGGGAUUAGAUACCCUUGUAGUC
rnacentral:rRNA from 1 species